rnacentral:rRNA from 1 species
GAUUAUGGCUCAGGAUGAACGCUAGCGACAGGCUUAACACAUGCAAGUCGAGGGGCAGCAUAGAAGUAGCAAUACUUGGUGGCGACCGGCGCACGGGUGAGUAACGCGUAUGCAACCUACCUAUCAGAGGGGAAUAACCCGGCGAAAGUCGGACUAAUACCGCAUAAAACAGGGGCACCGCAUGGUGAUAUUUGUUAAAGAAAUUCGCUGAUAGAUGGGCAUGCGUUCCAUUAGGUAGUUGGUGAGGUAACGGCUCACCAAGCCGACGAUGGAUAGGGGAACUGAGAGGUUGGUCCCCCACACUGGUACUGAGACACGGACCAGACUCCUACGGGAGGCAGCAGUGAGGAAUAUUGGUCAAUGGGCGGGAGCCUGAACCAGCCAAGUCGCGUGAAGGAAGAAGGAUCUAUGGUUCGUAAACUUCUUUUGCAGGGGAAUAAAGUGCAGGACGUGUCCUGUUUUGUAUGUACCCUGAGAAUAAGGAUCGGCUAACUCCGUGCCAGCAGCGGC